rnacentral:rRNA from 1 species
UACGUAGGGGGCAAGCGUUGUCCGGAAUCAUUGGGCGUAAAGAGCGUGUAGGCGGCCAGAUAAGUCCGCUGUGAAAUCUCGAGGCUCAACCUCGAGCUGUCGGUGGAAACUGUCUGGCUAGAGUCCGGAAGAGGAGAAUGGAAUUCCUGGUGUAGCGGUGAAAUGCGCAGAUAUCAGGAAGAACACCCGUGGCGAAGGCGGUUCUCUGGGACGGUACUGACGCUGAGACGCGAAAGCGUGGGGAGCGAACAGG